CACGUAGGGCGCAAGCGUUGUCCGGAAUUAUUGGGCGUAAAGAGCUCGUAGGCGGUCUGCCACGUCCGCUGUGAAAACCUAGGGCUUAACCCUGGGCUUGCAGUAGAUACGGGCAGACUAGAGGUAGGUAGGGGAGAAUGGAAUUCCUGGUGUAGCGGUGAAAUGCGCAGAUAUCAGGAGGAACACCGGUGGCGAAGGCGGGUCUCUGGGCCGAUACUGACGCUGAGGAGCGAAAGCGUGGGGAGCGAACAGG
rnacentral:rRNA from 1 species